GAUGAACGCUGGCGGCGUGCUUAACACAUGCAAGUCGAACGGAAAGGCUCCUGCUUGCAGGGGUACUCGAGUGGCGAACGGGUGAGUAACACGUGGGUGAUCUGCCCUGCACUUCGGGAUAAGCCUGGGAAACUGGGUCUAAUACCGGAUAGGACCAUCGUUUAGUGUCGGUGGUGGAAAGUUUUUUCGGUGUGGGAUGAGCUCGCGGCCUAUCAGCUUGUUGGUGGGGUAAUGGCCUACCAAGGCGUCGACGGGUAGCCGGCCUGAGAGGGUGUACGGCCACAUUGGGACUGAGAGACGGCCCAGACUCCUACGGGAGGCAGCAGUGGGGAAUAUUGCACAAUGGGCGCAAGCCUGAUGCAGCGACGCCGCGUGGGGGAUGACGGCCUUCGGGUUGUAAACUCCUUUCGCCAGGGACGAAGCGAAAGUGACGGUACCUGGAUAAGAAGCACCGGCUAACUACGUG
rnacentral:rRNA from 1 species